rnacentral:rRNA from 1 species
AGAAGAACCCCUGAUGCCGUCGAGCCAAGAAAAGUUUCUAAGUUUAGCUAAUGUUGCCCGUACCGUAAACCGACACAGGUGGGUGGGAUGAGUAUUCUAAGGCGCGUGGAAGAACUCUCUUUAAGGAACUCUGCAAAAUAGCACCGUAUCUUCGGUAUAAGGUGUGGUUAGCUUCGUACUAGGAUUUACUCCGAAAGCGAAGAAACUUACAACAAAGAGUCCCUCCCGACUGUUUACCAAAAACACAGCACUCUGCUAACUCGUAAGAGGAUGUAUAGGGUGUGACGCCUGCCCGGUGCUCGAAGGUUAAUUGAUGGGGUUAGCAUUAGCGAAGCUCUUGAUCGAAGCCCGAGUAAACGGCGGCCGUAACUAUAACGGUCCUAAGGUAGCGAAAUUCCUUGUCGGUUAAAUACCGACCUGCAUGAAUGGCGUAACGAGAUGGGAGCUGUCUCAAAGAGGGAUCCAGUGAAAUUGUAGUGGAGGUGAAAAUUCCUCCUACCCGCGGCAAGACGGAAAGACCCCGUGGACCUUUACUACAGCUUGACACUGCUACUUGGAUAAGAAUGUGCAGGAUAGGUGGGAGGCUUUGAGUAUAUGACGCCAGUUGUAUAUGAGCCAUUGUUGAGAUACCACUCUUUCUUAUUUGGGUAGCUAACCAGCUUGAGUUAUCCUCAAGUGGGACAAUGUCUGGUGGGUAGUUUGACUGGGGCGGUCGCCUCCCAAAUAAUAACGGAGGCUUACAAAGGUUGGCUCAGAACGGUUGGAAAUCGUUCGUAGAGUAUAAAGGUAUAAGCCAGCUUAACUGCAAGACAUACAAGUCAAGCAGAGACGAAAGUCGGUCUUAGUGAUCCGGUGGUUCUGUGUGGAAGGGCCAUCGCUCAAAGGAUAAAAGGUACCCCGGGGAUAACAGGCUGAUCUCCCCCAAGAGCUCACAUCGACGGGGAGGUUUGGCACCUCGAUGUCGGCUCAUCGCAUCCUGGGGCUGGAGCAGGUCCCAAGGGUAUGGCUGUUCGCCAUUUAAAGCGGUACGCGAGCUGGGUUCAGAACGUCGUGAGACAGUUCGGUCCCUAUCUGCCGUGGGCGUAAGAAGAUUGAAGAGAUUUGACCCUAGUACGAGAGGACCGGGUUGAACAAACCACUGGUGUAGCUGUUGUUCUGCCAAGAGCAUCGCAGCGUAGCUAAGUUUGGAAAGGAUAAACGCUGAAAGCAUCUAAGCGUGAAGCCAACUCUAAGAUGAAUCUUCUCUAAGCUCUCUAGAAGACUACUAGUUUGAUAGGCUGGGUGUGUAAUGGAUGAAAGUCCUUUAGCUGACCAGUACUAAUAGAGCGUUUGGCUUAUCUUUAAUAAAGCAU